GUCAGGAUGGCCGAGCGGUCUAAGGCGCUGCGUUCAGGUCGCAGUCCACUGCGUUUAGGGUUCGAUCACUUCUGACA